rnacentral:rRNA from 1 species
CGGGGGGGGCAAGCGUUGUUCGGAAUUACUGGGCGUAAAGGGCGCGUAGGCGGUUGGAUAAGUCAGCUGUGAAAACCACGGGCUUAACUCGUGGCCUGCAGUUGAGACUGUCUGGCUUGAGUGUGGGAGAGGAGAGUGGAAUUCCUGGUGUAGCGGUGAAAUGCGUAGAUAUCAGGAGGAACACCGGUGGCGAAGGCGGCUCUCUGGACCACAACUGACGCUGAGGCGCGAAAGCUAGGGGAGCAAACAGGAUUAGAUACCCUGGUAGUCCUAGCUGUAAACGAUGGAUACUUGCUGUGGGGGGUGUUAAAUCCCCCUGUGGCGGAGCUAACGCAUUAAGUAUCCCGCCUGGGGAGUACGGUCGCAAGGCUG